UUUAUACGUCGAAUUUUGGUCGCGUCGAAUGCAAUUAACACAAUAGAUAAUGAGAUGAUAAACGUCAUUAAGCUUCAUUAUCUAUUGUUUGAAUUGCAUUCGACGCGACCAAAAUUCGACGUAUAAA